AGUGCGGAGACAGGAGUUCCCCGUGUGGCGCAACGGGGUCAGUGGCAUCUCUGGAGCACAGGGACACAGGUGGGAUCCCCAGCCUGGCCCUGUGGGUUAAGGGUUGGGAGUGGGUACUGCUGCAGCCUAGGUGGCAGUUUCGGCUUGGAUGUGAUCCCUGGCCUGGGAACUCCGUAUGAUUCAGGGUGGCCAAAGAAGAGGAAAAAAAAAAAGUAUGCGGAUGGAUCUGAGGGAUACGUGCAAAGAAUCCCUACGGUCAAUAUUACUGAAGCAUCAGAUGUGAGGCAUUAUAAUAUAGUGGUGAAAAACAUGGCACUGGUGUUUGAAACCUGGCUUCCUAGCUGUGUGACCUCUGGUAAGUCACUUAACCUCUCUGUGCUUCAAUUCUGCCUCUAUAAAAUGGAGGCCAUAGCACCAUCUCUGUCACAGUGUUGCUUAGUAACGUGGUAGGUACUUCUCACUGUGACUAGAGGAAGUUUAGGGCUUGCAAAUGUGCUCCCUUUCUUGCCGGACCUUCUUCGAUGCUCCUGCAGGUUACACUGCCAGGAAGCAAGGACUGUCCUGUAACUCUGUACCUCGUGAGUCGGCCCCCAUUGGAAGCCCUGGUUCAGUCAGGGGAGUGGCGCUCCCCUGGAUGGUGAGGCUGGAGGCUCCACGGGGUCUCGCUGGGCCCUGAGGCUGGGCAGGGGCUCGGUUUCCACGCCCUGGGCCCGCAGCAGCCUCUCUGGUUAGGGGGCCAUAGACCUUCUGGUGCUGUUAAGUAAUUAGUCCCGGGGAACAGGCCUGAGCCAGACCUGCCCUGGACAAACAGGACAUGCCUUUUGGGAAUAGGACAGGCCCUGGCCCUUGAGGAAACCUCUUCCCCCUCAACACAGAACACACACAAAUCCACAGCAGAUUCUGCUCCGGGGCCUGUUUUUCUCGGUCACAGCGCCGAGGCGUGAACCCAGGGAGGACGAAGACCGAGGGAGUGGACGGCAGACCCCGCCCAGCACUUGUGGGGCGCUGCCAGAGCUCGUGAUGACAGGAAGACAGGGCCCGGGGGAGGCUGCGGGGAAGGAGAGGACCUUGGGAUGCAGAGGUUUGGGGAGC
ensembl:lncRNA